rnacentral:rRNA from 1 species
UCCAGACUCCUACGGGAGGCAGCAGUGGGGAAUAUUGCACAAUGGGGGAAACCCUGAUGCAGCGACGCCGCGUGAGCGAAGAAGUACCUCGGUAUGUAAAGCUCUCUCAGCAGGGAAGAAGAUGACGGUACCUGACCAAGAAGCUCCGGCUAAAUACGUGCCAGCAGCCGCGGUAAUACGUAUGGAGCAAGCGUUAUCCGGAUUUACUGGGUGUAAAGGGAGCGCAGGCGGCCUUGCAAGUCUGAUGUGAAAGGCCGGGGCCCAACCCCGGGACUGCAUUGGAAACUGCGAGGCUGGAGUGUCGGAGAGGCAGGCGGAAUUCCUAGUGUAGCGGUGAAAUGCGUAGAUAUUAGGAGGAACAUCAGUGGCGAAGGCGACUAUCUGGCACAUAACUGACGCUGGGGAGCGAAAGCGUGGGUAGCAAACAGGAUUAGAUACCCGAGUAU